rnacentral:rRNA from 1 species
ACUGGUAAGUGAUGCACCCUCCGCCAUCUUAUCAGAUCUUGGAAGCUAAGCAAGGUCUGGUUAGCACUUGGAUGGGAAACCGCUGGAAAUACCGGGUGCUACAGUG